GUGACCGGAAGGAGUGGAGCCAGGAUCCAGUCCUUCCCAGACCUCAUUUAAGGGCCAGCAGUGGAGGUGAGGGCAUCUUUUGCUGUAGGCCUUACCCCCCUGAGGCCUUCCAAAGGCGAGUAAGAAGUGGAUUCGUGCUGCUCUCACCUGCACCCAGUGUUAGUUACCCCUACUGCAGGGCUGUGGGAAUGUCGUGCUGCUAUGAACAGUGUGAAAACUACCUCAUUCUAUGGAGGCAACAAAGUCUUGAUGCUACCUACAAUGAAUCUGGUUUGUCCAGUUGCGUUAAUCUUCAGCACACUGCUAUGAUUCCAUGGAGAUGCAGGAUGCCAUGUCGUGUUCAAAGGGGAUUUAUAAAAAGAAAAAAUGGAAGAAGUGAUCUCAUUAAGCACAAGUUUGAGAUAAUCACAUGUCUGCUUGAUUGGGGGCACCCAGGGUGGUACCAGAGGACUAAGUAAAGAUUGAAGUAUGAGGAUGUGAACUUUAGUCAUUUAUUACACUCUUACUCAGCUUGGUUUCAAGUUGAUAUAUAAGCCGAAACUUUAUUCUGGUUAUCAAUCUUUCUGUUCAAAUACUUUAAAAUAUCCUGAUUCUUAUAAAUACACAUAUGAUACUGUUCAUGCUAACCCCAGUGGGAGCUGAGAAAACAUCAAUGUCCCAUCUACUUGGGUGCCUCAAUAUAAGAUCUGAUGAAUUGCCCUUGGAUUUGUACAUCUGAAUCUGUUCAGAUUGACCUGAGUAUUCACUUGAUCCUCUCUGUUUAUGUCAUCUUCUGUUAACAUGCAAAAACUAUUUUGACUGUUAAUGUCCUUGCUAACUGUAUGUAGUUUCUGAGGUUUUGGCCCUCCUGCCCCAAGUACUGAGGCUUCAGAUCUUGAAAAUAUUACGGUACAAUAGAUCUUUUGUUGCAUGUAAUGCAAAAUGUUGUAUUUCAGAACUUUGAUUUCUCUAACUGAAGAGUCUUCUGAGCUGGAAACUCCAGCAGUAAAUUAAGGAGAUCAAGGAAGUAACUUAAUGGCUUUCCAUUAUUAAUUAUCUCAUACUUUAACUGCUUCCAGAUGGCUGAUCAGGAUUAGAGCCUCAUUAAGUUGAGUAAUGCAUAACAUGAAUAUGCAUGUUGUCUGCCCCCAGUGCCAGUUCCAUUACCCUGUCUGAGAAGUGAACAUUAACCUGAAAGCCAGUCUGCAAAUGUUUAAGUGCAUUCACUUACAUUUGCAGAACUAUAGCCUAAUUGACUAUACAGGGCAGAUGAUUACACAGCAAGUAUAAAGGGAAAGUCAAAUGCAAGAAUAAACAGGUGUGCAUGUGCAUAUGUGCCCUGUAUAGCUUAUUCACUUCAUAGUUAUCAACAGUUAAAAUAUAAACCAGUAUUUUUUUUUUGAGAACCUCUUUUAAUGUAAAUAAUCUUCCUUUGUAACAAGUAUUGCUUUCUUCAACAUAUGCAGUACUUGCUGAUAGGAAGCUUCAUUUUAAGUGAAUGAAUUGGAGCUGUGAUUUUUCCAGAACUUAACAC